CAAUAGCGUAUAUUAAAGUUGUUGCGGUUAAAAAGCUCGUAGUUGGAUUUCUGCCGAGGACGACCGGUCCGCCCUCUGGGUGAGUAUCUGGCUCGGCCUGGGCAUCUUCUUGGAGAACGUAGCUGCACUUGACUGUGUGGUGCGGUAUCCAGGACUUUUACUUUGAGGAAAUUAGAGUGUUUCAAGCAGGCUUACGCCUUGAAUACAUUAGCAUGGAAUAAUAAGAUAGGACCUCGGUUCUAUUUUGUUGGUUUCCGAGACUGGAGUAAUGAUUAAGAGGGACAGUCGGGGGCAUCCGUAUUUCAUUGUCAGAGGUGAAAUUCUUGGAUUUAUGAAAGACGAACUUCUGCGAAAGCAUUUGCCAAGGAUGUUUUCAUUAA
rnacentral:rRNA from 1 species